UACAGAGGUCCCAAGCGUUGUUCGGAUUCAUUGGGCGUAAAGGGAGCGUAGGUGGUCGGGUAAGUCAGAUGUCAAAUUUCGAUGCUCAACGUCGAAUCGCAUUUGAUACUGCCUGGCUAGAGGAAUUGAGAGGAGGCCGGAAUUCACGGUGUAGCAGUGAAAUGCGUAGAUAUCGUGAGGAAGACCAACGGCGAAAGCAGGCCUCUGGAAAUUUCCUGACACUGAGGCUCGAAGGCCAGGGGAGCAAACGG
rnacentral:rRNA from 1 species